GCAGCAGGCGCGCAAAUUACCCACUCCCGGCACGGGGAGGUAGUGACGAAAAAUAACGAUACGGGACUCAUCCGAGGCCCCGUAAUCGGAAUGAGUACACUCUAAACCCUUUAACGAGUAUCCAUUGGAGGGCAAGUCUGGUGCCAGCAGCCGCGGUAAUUCCAGCUCCAAUAGCGUAUAUUAAAGUUGUUGCGGUUAAAAAGCUCGUAGUUGGACUUGUGUCCCACGCUGUCGGUUCACCGUUNGUCGGUGUUAACUGGCAUGCCUGUGUGGACGUCCUGCCGGUGGAUGCGGUCGGCCGCGGGCCUCUGGUCUGCGUGUCGGCGGUCCGAUGCAAUCCUACCGCGGUGCUCUUCACCGAGUGUCGAGGUGGGCCGGCACGUUUACUUUGAACAAAUUAGAGUGCUCAAAGCAGGCAGUGGUUCGCCUGAAUAUUGUGUGCAUGGAAUAAUGGAAUAGGACCUCGGUUCUAUUUUGUUGGUUUUCGGAACCUGAGGUAAUGAUUAAUAGGGACAGACGGGGGCAUUCGUAUUGCGACGUUAGAGGUGAAAUUCUUGGAUCGUCGCAAGACGAACCUAAGCGAAAGCAUUUGCCAUGAGUGUUUUCACUAAUCAAGAACGAAAGUUAGAGGUUCGAAGGCGAUCAGAUACCGCCCUAGUUCUAACCAUAAACGAUGCCAGCUAGCGAUCCGCCGAAGUUCCUCCGAUGACUCGGCGGGCAGCUUCCGGGAAACCAAAGCUUUUGGGUUCCGGGGGAAGUAUGGUUGCAAAGCUGAAACUUAAAGGAAUUGACGGAAGGGCACCACCAGGAGUGGAGCCUGCGGCUUAAUUUGACUCAACACGGGGAAACCUCACCAGGCCCGGACACCGAAGGGAUUGACAGAUUGAUAGCUCUUUCUUGAUUC
rnacentral:rRNA from 1 species